rnacentral:rRNA from 1 species
AUCUAUUUACUGUGAACUGUAUUAUUACUUGACGCUUGAGGGAUGCUCCACUGCUAUAAGGAUAGGCGGUGGGGAUGUUAACCGAGUCAUAGUCAAGCUUAGGCUUGGUAUCCUAUUAUUAUUUACCAAAAGAAUUCAGAAUUAAUAUUGUAACAUAGACCUAAAAAAUCUAUAAAACAACUUUUAACAACGGAUCUCUUGGUUCUCGCAUCGAUGAAGAACGUAGCAAAGUGCGAUAACUAGUGUGAAUUGCAUAUUCAGUGAAUCAUCGAGUCUUUGAACGCAACUUGCGCUCAUUGGUAUUCCAAUGAGCACGCCUGUUUCAGUAUCAAAACAAACCCUCUAUCCAACAUUUUGUUGAAUAGGAAUACUGAGAGUCUCUUGAUCUAUUCUGAUCUCGAACCUCUUGAAAUGUACAAAGGCCUGAUCUUGUUUGAAUGCCUGAACUUUUUUUUAAUAUAAAGAGAAGCUCUUGCGGUAAACUGUGCUGGGGCCUCCCAAAUAAUACUUUUUUUAAAUUUGAUCUGAAAUCAGGCGGGAUUACCCGCUGAACUUAAGCAUAUCAAUAAGCGGAGGAAAAGAAAAUACCAAUGAUUUCCCUAGUAACGGCGAGUGAAGAGGAAAGAGCUCAAAGUUGGAAACUGUUUGGCUUAGCUAAACCGUAUUGUAAACUGUAGAAACAUUUUCCUGGCACGCCGGAUUAAUAAGUCCUUUGGAACAAGGCAUCAUGGAGGGUGAGAAUCCCGUCUUUGAUCCGAGUAGUUGUCUUUUGUGAUAUGUUUUCAAAGAGUCAGGUUGUUUGGGAAUGCAGCCUAAA